rnacentral:rRNA from 1 species
UGCCAGCCGCCGCGGUAACACGUAGGGAGCAAGCGUUGUCCGGAUUUAUUGGGCGUAAAGAGCUCGUAGGCGGUUCGGUAAGUCGGGUGUGAAAAUCCAGGGCUCAACCCUGGGACGCCACCCGAUACUGCUGUGACUAGAGUCCGGUAGAGGAGCGUGGAAUUUCUGGUGUAGCGGUGAAAUGCGCAGAUAUCAGAAGGAACACCAGCGGCGAAGGCGGCGCUCUGGGCCGGUACUGACGCUGAGGAGCGAAAGCGUGGGUAGCGAACGGGAUUAGAUA